ensembl:lncRNA
AAUAACAGUUUGGGAAAACGUGAUGCAAACUCUUAAAUGUUGAAAUAAUGAUCUAUUAUGAUUGUUUAUGCUAAUAAAUUAUAUGUGGUGAUUGUAUAUUUUAAUAGAAGACAUGUGAUGAUUGUAUAUCGUUAGCCUUAUAUAAUUGCCUAAUUCAUAGCUUGUCCAAAUUGUGAUAUUUAACCUGAAUCUGCUCUCCUACCACUGCUGAUUCACUGUGCCCCGGUGGCUAUGUCCUAAACCAAUCAGAGGGAUUUUUACAUUGCAUUAUCACUAUCUGCCUAAGUCAGCUAGUUGACUUGGUCAUUUUUGGACACUAAAUACAAGAUGAACCUUAAAAAUUGACUUAGGCGAUUAUGCUAUGAGAAUAACGAUUUGUAAAUAGAUGAAGAAACACAGACUGAGUGUCAGCAGAUGUGAUGUCAGCACAUGUCAGUGAAGAGGAGAAUAGCAGGAUAUCCUGGAGGGUAAAGACACACACACGCACACACACACACGCACACACACACACAAACACACACACACACACACGCACACACACACACACACACACACACACACACACAUAUCCUGAGAGAAUCUGCCAUGUCAUGACUUCAGAUCUGAGUCCGGGCCGAGGUCAGCAGCAGUCAGCUGGUCUCCCGGGACGCCCAUACAAACAGAACUUCAACAACAAGUACAUCUUCACUCAGAGACAUGAGUUACGGAUCAAGUGGGUCGCACAGAAGUGAAGGAGAACGUGGUCACACUAAACAUCAGUGUCCUUGUACCAGUAUCAUCACACCAGAAAGUACUGUGUAAUGAGCAGUAUAGAACCGGUCUGUAGUCCCGGGCCCGGGUCCGGGCAGGUCCAGUCUGUAGUCCCGGGUCCGGGUAGGUCCAGUCUGUAGUCCCGGGUCCGGGUAGGUCCAAUCUGUAGUCCCGGGCCCUGGUCCGGGUAGGUCCAGUCUGUAGUCCCGGGUCCGGGUAGGUCCAAUCUGUAGUCCCGGGCCCUGGUCCGGGUAGGUCCAGUCUAGUCCCGGGUCCGGGUAGGUCCAGUCUGUAGUCCCGGGUCCGGGUAGAUCCAGUAUGUAGUCCCGGUCCAGUCUGUAGUCCUAGUCCUUGUGUUGAUAGGACCAGUCUGUAGUCCGGGUCCAGGUCCUGGUGGGACUGGUCUGUCGUCCGGGUCCAGGUCCUGGUGGGACCGGUCUCUAGCCCCCCUCCCCUCUCCGUUCCCUAAUACCACUAUUAGAGGGGUCUUUGUUGAGGAGGCGGUAGGAGGCAGAAGCGGUAUUUAACACGCCGCUGCCAACCAAGUCUCUCCGUUCACCUCGGCCCGCGGGGAGCGGACCAGGGGUGUGGUGGUCCACCAGAGACCCCCGGUGGGGCAGGGUCUCUGGGGUCCCC